rnacentral:rRNA from 1 species
GAUACCCUAUUAUAAAAAUUUAAAUUAAUUUACUAAAAAAUUAAUAGUUAUGUUCUUUAAAUUUAAAAAAUUUGGCGGUAUUUUAGUCUUAUUAGAGGAACCUGUUUAUUAAUUGAUAAUCCACGAUUAAUUUUACUUAUUUUAUUAAUUCAUAUAUCGCUGUCAUGAAUAUAUUAAAAAAUUUAUUUUCUACAUUUACUAUUAUAAUUUAUGUUAAGUCAAGAUGUGGUUUAUAAAUAAGAAUAUAAUGGGUUACAUUAAAUUAUAUUUUUGGAUUUUAAAUGAAAAUUAAAAUGAAAUUGGAUUUAAUAGUAAAUUUAUUUA